UCAAACUGAUAAAUACUCUGAUUAAUGUAUGUAGCCUACUUAUAAUGUAAAGACUUACAGCAACAAAACGCGUUAGUUUCAAGGCAAUCGUUCAGAUGUGAUGAGUUUAACUCAUGUUGCCUUCAUGUGAGUGGAUUAAGUGUAAAUGAAACACACUUCAGUUUGUUAUUGUGAUGCACAAUUUCUUCUUUCCAGCUAAAAGCUGAAGAGGCCCGAGUGACUCUUCGAUUGGAACCGUGUUUUCUCUCUCUCUCUCGCCCUGUCUUUCCUCAUUUCUGUCGCUCUCUGGCCAUCUGCUGUGUAAGUGCAGCACUAUUGAUCAGAAUCAAUGCGCCUCGGACCCCAUGAUGCUGCCGUUACCGUCGCGCGCUGCAUCUGUUCGGGGCGCGCGCAGAGAUCCUGCGGCUCUCGGAGCCGUGACCUUUAACCCUUGACACGUUCACCUCAUUGUGUUCAUGAAAGAGACGAGCAAACACGCGUGGACGACACCACUGAUACCUCACCCUGAAACCCUCCUCUUAUAUAUAUAUAUAUGUAUAAAACCUAAUAAACUGAAUAUAUGUCUAAAUGAACUAAUGCAUGUAAACACUAUGUAAUAAUCAAACUUUUUUUAGGUAUUUCUGAGGUUUACAAAACACUUUGUUAUUUUGACAUUUGAAUUGAUUGUAAUUAAUCUCCCUACAAAAAUAAAACAAAAUAGAAAUGA